GGUUUGAUGGUGUAGUUGGUUAUCACGUCAGUCUAACAUCCUAUGGAUGGUCCACUGAAGGUCGGGAGAUCGAGCCUCCCUCGAAUCA
rnacentral:tRNA from 1 species